ensembl:lncRNA
CUCCUGUUUGGGAUCGAGCGCGCCGGUGGUCUCCUGGAUCCUGCUCAUCUUCUCCCGGAGCGCAAAGACGCGCCGGUUCGUGGCGAGCAGCUCGUGCUCCAGAUCCUGGAAGAGCGAGCAGGCGUGUUUGGCCAGAUCCGACAGCUGGCGCAGGGUCCGGGACAGAGCCACAUUACUGAAGGCGCACAGGUCCUGGAGCAGGAGACCCUCCUCAUCCGCGUCCGCGCGUCUGCACAGCCACUGGGGCUCCACGAUCCGCUUGGCAAAUGGCAUUUUGUCAUGUAGAGUUCAGGUAUAAAAUCCACCUUUGGAGGAAAACGCAAACAGGUUCCAUGUAAAAAGCAAGACCCCCUCCUCCUCCUCCUCCUCCGUCAGUCCAGGGUCUCUCGCGGCUCGUCCUCCAUCCUCCGUUCGGCCGGACACACACACACACACGCGCGCGCUGAACCGCACUGAGGUCCGCCUCUGUCGCUCUGAUCCCGCUUCCACUCACUGGCGUGCUUUUCUGCGCUUUAAACUCCGAAUGCUUUUAAGGAAAGACGGAGCGAAAACCUGGAGUGGAGUGCGGCGACAACUGGAUCCGGAACAACCGCUUUGCAUUCAUGAGACAGACAGAUGUUUUUCAAAGUCAGUUUAUGCCGAUCUGCUGCGGCGCGUGAUGGACAGAACAAUGAUGCUGCUAUCAGGCACUGAGGUCAGACUCAACGGUCACAUGAUAACCAGCUCAACAGCAUCUGACCCCAACAUUUACAGGUGUUGACUGCUCCUGACUGCUUCAUGUUCUUGGUGUUAUCUUGUCCAUGCUGAAGGACAACACAAACAAUCUGAAACACAUGAGAUCAGGCAGUGUAACAAGCUCUCCAGACAAACUGAAGAGGGUCAUCAGAGGUCACAACCUAUUGCUCCACUUACCAAAUCUGCUCAGUUAAUUCUCUACGGUCCUCAUGCUUGAGUCAGAUAUGAGAAAACCACAGGAAAAGCGUCAAAGGCAUCAGGUUCCAUUUAUGUUAACUCUAUGCAUAAUCAAUGAUAUGCAUUCCUUCACCACAGAAAAUCAUUUCAACAAUUUGCAAAAACAAACAACAAUUACAUAUCAUGAACAUUUAAAAACUAACCCUAAAUGACAAGCGAACAGGUUCUACAAACAUGCGAGGCAAGACACACCACAUCCAUCACAAUCUCCCAUAAUUCCACUGGUUUAUUGACACAUUCACGGACAGAACAUUCCUGAACACUCCUGCAUCAGAACACAGUGCAUGAGAAAUUCAAUCAGUAUCAAAAACACACAACAUGGCCCUCAACAAGCUCGACCCGCAAAAUCACCAAUAUGAUUUGCAUAGGAAAGGAUAUAGCCCACUUUUGAACAAAAAUACAGAUUUUUUUUUUUUUUGCAGUUGCUGGUUUUCAUUUAAUGCAUUUUUUUUUUUUUUUUUUAUAAUCAACCUUUUCUGACAUUUCAUAUUUACCCCCAAAAAAUAUUUUUCGGAUUGUAAUAAAUGCUUAAGAAAUUACUGAAAAGUUUGAAAUAAUAGUUAAUGAUAAAAAAAAAAAUAUAUAUAAUAAUAAUAAAAAAAUAAUAGAUGGAUGUUUCUUGUAAUACAUUACAAGCACGAUCACUGGAUCGCUGAUCUGAGGUUAAUGUGGCAUUCAACAGGUACAUCUACAUAUUCUAACAUUCCAGUCUUAAACAGUCCUUUACUGUCAAACGACUCACAUACAACAUGCCGUCAGAACUGAAUGAAUGUUCAUCUUCAUGCAUGAACACAAACACACUCAAAUCUGAAGAGUCUCUACAACACAUCCAUGUUUAUGAACUUUUUGUCCCAGCACACAAAGUCAUGAUUAUUCUACAUUUUACUUAGUUUACAACAGUGUUCAUCAUGGGUAAAUCACACAAAAACUAUCAAGGGACAUUUUUACCCCAAAACCAAAAAAAUAAAAAAUAAAAAAAAUACAGAAAUUAUGAAAAAA